rnacentral:lncRNA from 1 species
AGUCCCCAGAGAGUCCUGUCUCUCGUUAUGGACACAAAAGAAAAGCCAUGUGAGGACACAGAGAGAAGGUGGCUGUCUACGAGCUAGGAAGAAAGGCCUCACCAGAAACCAACCCUCACAGCAGCUCGAUCUUGGACUUCCGACCUCCGGAACUGUGAGAAAAUAAAUGUUUGCGAUUAAGGUCGGUUGUAUUUUGUUAAGGCCAUCCUAGCAAAUGAAUACAGGCUCUUUCCUAACAUUGUCUCUUUAAGAGCUCACCAGCCUGAGGUAGGAAUCAUUCCAUCUGUGUUACUAAUGAGACCGCUGAGGAUCAAAGGGGUUUUCCACCACAUCCACUGACCUCUACAUGGCGAAAACCAAAGGUUCACUCUCUGUCUUCAGGGAGCUCCACCCAGCAGCAGCGUUUGACAGAGCUGUUCACUUCCUCUUCCUGGAGCUGUGGCUUCCAGAGUCCAUGCUCAGCAGUUCCCCUCCUUCUUCGGCUGCUUCUCUCUUAGGCUCAGAGCCACUCAGACAUUGGGAAGCAAGUUUGUCAAGAUGACAGAGAACCGAGGUAAUGGAUUCGAGUGAUGAAACAGGAAGUUCAUUCAUGAGUUUUUGGCCACACCUCCAAAGUGACGACUUGGCCAGAAAUGGGAUAACUGGAUUUCCCUACUUCUCUUUGAUCAUCCUCAAUGAGAGUGACCAAAUAUUAGAGCUAGAUGGAACCUUAGUGAAAAUCUGGCUACUCGUCCCGUCCCACCAGCCUGCCACCCGUUUCAAGUUUGAAGAGACAAAGACACAAGGACCUUAUGUAAUUACUGGGGAUUACCCCAGGAGUCUGUGGCAAAAGUCAGCUUCUUCCCUCCCUGCUUCCCCGCCCUGUCUCUGGUGCUUUCUACCAACACUAGGCUGUUUCUGUGAUCAUACUUAAGCGUACCUAACCUGUGAAUGUUGUACAGAAGCUGCUAAUGAACAUGAUUUAGCUUUAACACUCAGUUUUCUAAAGGGACACGUGGGGGCAGCAAAUGUUUAGGGAAAAAAAAUUCCAGUUCUAACCUCUACUGUCUACGUAUGUGUAUACAUUUGGGAAACGUUUCGGAAAGAGAUAUUUGAGAGCUUCUUCUCCUUUUUUGUGGUUUGGUUAUUUAAUGAUAUUGAGAUUGUUUCUGAGCCAUGUGCUUCAACAUCGGAUUGGGGAUUUCAGAAAACGUUUUAGUCACUGUGAUUCAAUUUAGCUUCCAAAUGUGCCUCUGCUAAGAGACUUAAAAGCACUCAUAAAUAGCACGUGUGUCUUCUUUGCAGUGUUUGCUAAUUUUGGGUCACAUCUUCUUUUUAGAAAAUCAUGAGAUUUGGUGUCACAGAGACGGGAAUAAAUAUAGUCAAACUCAUUGGUGAAGAUUUCCUUUAGCUGUUUUCCUAAUCCAUUUCCAUUGUUAUGAUUAUUGAUGAAUAAAACAUUUUCUUUAGGUAGAUACUUCUUUUUUUCCCCCACCUUGAUUUAAUGUUUCCACUCUUAUUGUCAAGUUUCUUAUUACUCCCUAAUAACUCUCAAUAAAAUAAUGAUUCCUGGAAGAUUA